UGGGGAAUUUUGGACAAUGGGCGAAAGCCUGAUCCAGCAAUGCCGCGUGUGUGAAGAAGGCCUUCGGGUUGUAAAGCACUUUUGUCCGGAAAGAAAUCCUUGGCUCUAAUACAGUCGGGGGAUGACGGUACCGGAAGAAUAAGCACCGGCUAACUACGUGCCAGCAGCCGCGGUAAUACGUAGGGUGCAAGCGUUAAUCGGAAUUACUGGGCGUAAAGCGUGCGCAGGCGGUUUGCUAAGACCGAUGUGAAAUCCCCGGGCUCAACCUGGGAACUGCAUUGGUGACUGGCAGGCUAGAGUAUGGCAGAGGGGGGUAGAAUUCCACGUGUAGCAGUGAAAUGCGUAGAGAUGUGGAGGAAUACCGAUGGCGAAGGCAGCCCCCUGGGCCAAUACUGACGCUCAUGCACGAAAAGCGUGGGGAGCAAAACAGGAUUAGAUACCCUGGUAGUCCACGCCCUAAAACGAUGUCAACUAGUUGUUGGGGAUUCAUUUCCUUAGUAACGUAGCUAACGCGUGAAGUUGACCGCCUGGGGGAGUACGGUCGCAAAGAUUAAAAACUCAAAGGAAUUGACGGGG
rnacentral:rRNA from 1 species